AGUCAUAUGCUUGUCUCAAAGAUUAAGCCAUGCAUGUCUAAGUAUAAACAACUUUAUACUGUAAAACUGCGAACGGCUCAUUAUAUCAGCAAUUAUUUAUUUGAUGGUUUCUUACUACAUGGAUAACCAUAGUAAUUCUAGAGCUAAUACAUGCGUAAAGUCCCAACUCUUGCGGGGAGGGAUGUAUUUAUUAGAUUAAAAACCAAUGCGGGUUCUGCCCGGUUUUGUGUUGAUUCAUAGUAACUUUUCGGAUCGCAUGGCUUCACGCCGGCGACAGUUCAUUCAAAUUUCUGCCCUAUCAGCUUUCGACGGUAGUGUAGUGGACUACCGUGGCAUUUAC
rnacentral:rRNA from 1 species